AGCACCAUUUCCCAGGCCAGCGUGCAAGACUCCUUUCCCACCUUCAUUUCCUUGUUUUUGUUUUCUGUAGCAUUCAUGAAGCUCUUCCUGUGCGCCAGGCGCUGCACUGAGGACUGGGGUAGAUUCAAGCUAAUCAGGUUGGACGCGGUCCCUGUCCCACCAGAGGCUCACGGUCUUAAUCCCCAUUUUACAGAUGAGGUGACUGAGCCGCAGAGAAGUGAAAUGACCCGCCCAAGGUCACACAGCAGCGAAGAGCCGGGAUUAAAACCGAGGGCCGACUCCCAGGCCCGUUCUCUCAUCAACUGAGCCACGCUGCUUCAUACCCCGCCUUACCGUUAAACCAUGCAUCCCGAGGGGAGGAAGGGACGGAGGAAGGAAGAUGACUGCGCUUUCCCAGAGGGAGUUGAGCAUCAUUGGACCUUAGUCCUGCUCUGCGUCAGCUACUGGAAAAAAUUAAAGAAACCCAGAUCUGUGAUGGUCUUUCAGGUGCGGCAUCUGGGAGAACAGUGGAGUUGUAUUCAACACGUCUUCAACUUUAUCUGUGAAGGCCAUGCUGCUCAUCUACCGGUACUACCAUUAUCACUACCAUUAAGAUUGCCGACGGAAUUAGGAAGGUUAUUCCGGCACUGCGCUUCUGUCUGGAUAACCAUCUAUCGCCACGGCAGAAGAAAUGGACGUGUGCAGGCUUGGGACGUGAAACCCGGGGUGAGUGCUACAGUUCCAGUUUUAACAUGGAUUUUGGUAAAAACGAGCACUAUAUAUUGUAGGAGAACUGACUUGUUACAAGAAUCACAGGAAAGAGGCGGAGAAGGGAAGGACGAGGAAGGAGAGGAGGGUUGGUUAUUGACUAAGGCUGGGUAGACACAGCACAAAAUAGGUCUGGGACACCCGAAUGAUCCAGUUUGGCUGCCCGGAUGAGGAAAUGGCCAGUUCUCUUCUCCACUUUGUGCCGUUAAGACACAAGGGUGUGUAAGUGUAUGAUUGGUACAGAUGAGGUGUAUGUAAAUUUUGAACGAUGAAAUACAUCACGAAAUCGCUUGCAAAAGUUUCCAUCGUCGUGCUUAAAAAAAUGUUCGGAUCGUGUGCGUUUGCUUGGCAUAAAACAAACCUUUGAAUUAAGUAAAUGCUUUCACUGCUAAAGACGUUAAAGCUAGAAAGGAGCGUUUUGUUAAAUGUUAAGAAAAAUGCGAG
rnacentral:lncRNA from 1 species